UCACGGGCAUCAGGUUUAUUCACGUCUCCAGCACCCCACAGACCCCCAGAUGCCCAAAUACCCCCCCGGGGGCAGGGGGCAAUAAAUAAGGAGGGGGGUAAAAGGCACCCGGGGCAGGGGGCAGGAACUGGGCUGCAAUGGUCCAUACUGGGAAAAGCCGUAUGUGCAUUAGAUCCCAGUCAGGGCGCCCUAUCGGUCCAUACUGGUCCAUACUAGGACGAUGCAAGGCCACAGGGGUGAAGAGAUCCUGGGCAAGAUGCUGUACUGGUCCAUACUGGUCCAUUCUGGUUCAUGCUGGGAGGACGCAAGGCCACAGGGAGCCCCCAAAGCGAACCCACAGUCCCCAUAUAUUGUCCAUGGGCUUCCCCCAUUACCCCCCCACCCCUUCGAACCCCCCAUCCCACACCCCCCCCAAUUUACCCCGUGCUGUGCCCCCCCGGGGGCGCCCCCCCCCAGCCCUCCAGGUAGCGGGCGAAGAGCCCCUUGGCGCGGUGCAGGACGCGGGGCAGGUGGUGGCGCCGCACCAGGCGGUCGAAGUGCAUGGCCACCUCGUUGUAGUCCCCGGCGCGGCCCAUCACCGCCUCCCGCUGCUCCAGCAGCAUGGCCAGGCACAGGAAGAGCAGGAAGGGGUUCCCCUGGCCCAGCUCCUCCGGCGGCGGCAGCGGCGCCCCGUCGUCCUCCACCCCCACCUCAUCCUCUGAGGAGGAAGAGGAGCACGAGGAGGAGGAGGAACUUGAGGCUUCCCAAGCCCAAGUGCCACCCCAGGGGUCCUCAGCAGCGGCCAUGCCCAUGCUGGAGUCCUCAUGGAACUCUAUGGGGUCCUCAUGGAACUCUAAGGGGUCCUCAUGGAACGCUAUGGGGUCCUCACGUACCUCUAUGGGAUCUACACCAACCUCUUCGGGGUCUCCAUCAACCUGUUUGGGGCCUUCACCAACCUCAUUGGGGUCCUUACCAACCUCUGUGCGGUCUUUAUCAGCCUCUUUGCAGUCUUCACCCUCUUCGGGGUCUUUACCAACCCUUCUGGGGUCUCCACCAG
rnacentral:lncRNA from 1 species